UACGUAGGCAGCGAGCGUUGUUCGGAAUUACUGGGCGUAAAGAGUGUGUAGGCGGUGCUCUAAGUUCGGUGUGAAAUCUCCUGGCUCAACUGGGAGGGUGCGCCGGAAACUGGAGUGCUUGAGCGUGGGAGAGGAAAGCGGAAUUCCGGUGUAGCGGUGAAGUGCGUAGAUAUCAGGAGGAACACCUGUGGUGUAGACGGCUUUCUGGACCAUAGCUGACGCUGAGACACGAAAGCGUGGGUAGCAAACAGG
rnacentral:rRNA from 1 species